AACAUAAUGAUUCAUUGCAACAGCAACUUGAUCUUAUUUUCUUCAAUAUAGCUGCUCAGGAAACACAAAAUGAUCAUCUUAUUCCUGAGCAUUACUUUUAACAUUAUUCUGGUUUCAGGUCAACGCCAAGAUGUGAACCAAUACCCUGAAAUCAGCUGGAGUAAUGUGUCCGAAUCUGCAAAGAUGAACUGCAGCCAUGACAAAGAUAUUUCCUACGCCCAGAUGUACUGGUACAGACAGCGUCCAGGGGAGAGCAUGACCCUCAUUGUCUACACAGUUUUUAAUGGGCAACCAGACUAUGGGAGGGCCCCUCAAAACAAAUAUGUAGGCAUCAAAGAUGACAUAAAGACCGGGGCUCUCACUGUCAAUGACUUGCAGCUGGAGGACAGCGGUGUGUAUUUUUGUGCCGUCAGUAAACACAGUGAUGUGAGAAGUAUGAGCAGCUGAACAAAAACUGCUUCACA